GACGAACCGUGCAAACGUUAUUCGGAAUCACUGGGCAUAAAGGGCGCGUAGGCGGCUUUCUAAGUCAGGGGUGAAAUCCGGCAGCUCAACUGUCGAAGUGCCUUUGAUACUGGAAAGCUCGAGGGAGGUAGGGGUCUGUGGAACUUCCGGUGGAGCGGUGAAAUGCGUUGAUAUCGGAAGGAACGCCGGUGGCGAAAGCGACGGACUGGAUCUCUUCUGACGCUGAGGCGCGAAAGCUAGGGGAGCAAACGGG
rnacentral:rRNA from 1 species